UACGUAGGGGGCAAGCGUUGUCCGGAAUUAUUGGGCGUAAAGAGCGCGUAGGCGGUCCGAUAAGUCGGCUGUGAAAGUCCAGGGCUCAACCCUGGAAAGCCGGCCGAUACUGUCGGACUAGAGUCCGGAAGAGGCAAGUGGAAUUCCCGGUGUAGCGGUGAAAUGCGCAGAUAUCAGGAGGAACACCUAUGGCGAAGGCAGCUCGCUGGGACGGUACUGACGCUGAGGCGCGAAAGCGUGGGGAGCGAACAGG
rnacentral:rRNA from 1 species